rnacentral:miRNA from 1 species
UGAGAUUCAAUUACUCCAACUAC